rnacentral:rRNA from 1 species
CCUACGGGGGGCAGCAGUAGGGAAUCUUCCACAAUGGGCGCAAGCCUGAUGGAGCAACACCGCGUGAGUGAAGAAUGGUUUCGGCUCGUAAAGCUCUGUUGUUGGAGAAGAACGUGCGUGAGAGUAAGUGUUCACGCAGUGACGGUAUCCAACCAGAAAGUCACGGCUAACUACGUGCCAGCAGCCGCGGUAAUACGUAGGUGGCAAGCGUUAUCCGGAUUUAUUGGGCGUAAAGCGAGCGCAGGCGGUUGCUUAGGUCUGAUGUGAAAGCCUUCGGCUUAACCGAAGAAGUGCAUCUGAAACCGGCAGACUUGAGUGCAGUAGAGGACAGUGGAACUCGAGGUGUAGCGGUGGAAUGCUUAGAUAUAAGGAAGAACACCAGUGGCGAAGGCAGCUGUCUGGUCUGCAACUGACGCUGAGGCUCGAAAGCAUGGGUAGCGAACAGGAUUAGAUACCCGGGUAGUC